CCUACGGGAGGCAGCAGUGGGGAAUAUUGCGCAAUGGGGGCAACCCUGACGCAGCAACGCCGCGUGAUUGAAGAAGGCCUUCGGGUUGUAAAGAUCUUUAAUCGGGGACGAAUUUUGACGGUACCCGAAGAAUAAGCUCCGGCUAACUACGUGCCAGCAGCCGCGGUAAUACGGAGGGAGCAAGCGUUAUCCGGAUGUAUUGGGUGUAAAGGGUGCGUAGACGGGAAGUCAAGUUGGUUGUGAAAUCCCUCGGCUUAACUGAGGAACUGCAACCAAAACUAACUUUCUUGAGUGCUGGAGAGGAAAGUGGAAUUCCUAGUGUAGCGGUGAAAUGCGUAGAUAUUAGGAGGAACACCAGUGGCGAAGGCGACUUUCUGGACAGUAACUGACGUUGAGGCACGAAAGUGUGGGGAGCAAACAGGAUUAGAUACCCCAGUAGUC
rnacentral:rRNA from 1 species